rnacentral:rRNA from 1 species
AGAGUUUGAUCCUGGCUCAGGGUAAACGCUGGCGGCGUGCCUAAAACAUGCAAGUCGCACGGGGGUUUCGGCUCCAGUGGCAGACGGCUGAGUAACGCGUGGGUGACCUGCCUGGAAGUGGGGAAUAACUGCCCGAAAGGGUGGCUAAUACCGCAUGAGCUCGUUGGUGUCAUUGCUGACGAGGAAAGCCGCAAGGCGCUUCGAGAGGGGCCCGCGUCCGAUUAGCUAGUUGGUGGGGUAACGGCCUACCAAGGCGACGAUCGGUACCUGGUCUGAGAGGAUGAUCAGGCAGACUGGGACUGUGACACGGCCCAGACUCCUACGGGAGGCAGCAGUUAGGAAUUUUGGGCAAUGGGCGCAAGCCUGACCCAGCAACGCCGCGUGGGUGACGACGGCCUUCGGGUUGUAAAGCCCUUUUCUGCGGGAAGAUAGUGACGGUACCGCAGGAAUAAGCACCGGCUAACUACGUGCCAGCAGCCGCGGUAAUACGUAGGGUGCAAGCGUUGCCCGGAUUUAUUGGGCGUAAAGGGCGCGUAGGCGGCCGAGCGCGUCAUGCGUGAAAUCUCCCGGCUUAACUGGGAGGGGUCGUGUGAUACGGCUUGGCUGGAGCAAGGUAGGGGGCAGUGGAACUCCUAGUGUAGAGGUGGAAUUCGUAGAUAUUAGGAAGAACCCAGUGGCGAAGGCGGCUUACUGGUCCGGAACUGACGCUGAGGUGCGAAAGCGUGGGGAGCAAACAGGAUUAGAUACCCUAGUAGUCC